GGAACUACCGGCGCACUCGCUUGCACAUUGUGUUGAUUUGUCUCUUGUGGCUGUAUCGUAACUUCAGCGCUUGGGCUCGCUUCGCUAGUUUCCCUUUCCUGGGUUUCCAUUCUAUCUAUAUUUAUCAAAUCACUGCGAGAAUAUCACCGCUGCUACCAUGUUUCAUGUACUCAACGUUCAAACUUUUUAAUAUCAACCUUGCAUAAUAUACAAACUCUCUAGUCUCUGCAUUUGUUUCCAC